UGGGGAAUUUUGCACAAUGGGGGAAACCCUGAUGCAGCGACGCCGCGUGAUUUAGAAGGCCUUCGGGUUGUAAAAAUCUUUUGUAUGGGAAGAAAAUGACAGUACCAUACGAAUAAGGACCGGCUAAUUACGUGCCAGCAGCCGCGGUAAUACGUAAGGUCCGAGCAUUGUCCGGAAUCAUUGGGCGUAAAGGGUACGUAGGCGGAUAAGCAAGUUAGAAGUGAAAUCCUAUAGCUCAACUAUAGUAAGCUUUUAAAACUGCUCAUCUUGAGGUAUGGAAGGGAAAGUGGAAUUCCUAGUGUAGCGGUGAAAUGCGCAGAUAUUAGGAGGAAUACCGGUGGCGAAGGCGACUUUCUGGCCAUAUACUGACGCUGAGGUACGAAAGCGUGGGUAGCAAACAGG
rnacentral:rRNA from 1 species